UCCGUCUUCAGGUUAUUACAACUUUGUAAAUGUCUUGGAAACAUUUACAAAGUUGUAAUAAUCUGAAGACGGAC